rnacentral:rRNA from 1 species
UACGUAGGGGGCUAGCGUUGUCCGGAAUCAUUGGGCGUAAAGCGCGUGUAGGCGGUCCGGUAAGUCCGCUGUGAAAGUCGGGGGGCUCAACCCUCGGAUGCCGGUGGAUACUGUCGGGCUUGAGUACGGAAGAGGCGAGUGGAAUUCCUGGUGUAGCGGUGAAAUGCGCAGGAUAAUCAGGAGGAACACCAAUUGCGAAGGCAGCUCGCUGGGACGUUACUGACGCUGAGACGCGAAAGCGUGGGGAGCAAACGGG